rnacentral:lncRNA from 1 species
ACACUGACCUGGGAGGGGCUUCUCAAACACCACAUUUCCUAGCGUGCUGUGAGAAGAGGACUGUGAGCUAAGAAGGGAGAAAAGGCACUCCCUCCUCAUCAACAAACACCUGACCUGGGUAGACCCUCUGCUUACCAAGAUCCAGUCCACCUUUUGACAUCAGCAUUCAUGCUGCCUCUUUUUACGAACCAAGCCAAAGUGGUCCCUUCCUCUGGAAAUUAUAGGAUACUUAAUGUACAUCAUAUCCAGGUAUGAUACUAGAACUUUAAGCCUGAAAGCAGGCAAGGUGAAUUAACACCUAUACCUUGAAGGUGACAAGGAACAUCAUAUUCGAUCUCAUCAUGUCUCGACGGGCUUAGGAACAAAGUUCCAUCCACCAGUGGGAACUGUUCGAACACCGGGAGCGCCCGGUGGCACAGGGCACAGUUUACCACGUUUCUGUGGCUGGCACUGAGCGCGGCCAGAAUGAACUUCCGCAAGUCUUCCCCCUGGCCCACUUGGGCAUCGUCUUCCAUGCGCACGUGGAAAGUGUUCAGCUUAUGCCUGGGGAUGUGAGUGAGGAGUUCGGAGAGGUCCAGCCGCCGAAGGAACUGCACGGGGGUGUCGAAGUGUCCCCCCCUGUGAACUGCCAACCCCGCAGGGCUGUAAUCAAAGUGGGCAUUUCUGAACACAUGGCCCCCAGCCAUGGCCUUCUUGUGAGGCUCCAGAUGGAUGGCGUUCUUUAAGAACUCCCCGAGG